rnacentral:rRNA from 1 species
AUGAACGCUAGCUACAGGCUUAACACAUGCAAGUCGAGGGGCAGCAUGGUCUUAGCUUGCUAAGGCCGAUGGCGACCGGCGCACGGGUGAGUAACACGUAUCCAACCUGCCGUCUACUCUUGGACAGCCUUCUGAAAGGAAGAUUAAUACAAGAUGGCAUCAUGAGUCCGCAUGUUCACAUGAUUAAAGGUAUUCCGGUAGACGAUGGGGAUGCGUUCCAUUAGAUAGUAGGCGGGGUAACGGCCCACCUAGUCUUCGAUGGAUAGGGGUUCUGAGAGGAAGGUCCCCCACAUUGGAACUGAGACACGGUCCAAACUCCUACGGGAGGCAGCAGUGAGGAAUAUUGGUCAAUGGGCGAGAGCCUGAACCAGCCAAGUAGCGUGAAGGAUGACUGCCCUAUGGGUUGUAAACUUCUUUUAUAAAGGAAUAAAGUCGGGUAUGGAUACCCGUUUGCAUGUACUUUAUGAAUAAGGAUCGGCUAACUCCGUGCCAGCAGCCGCGGUAAUACGGAGGAUCCGAGCGUUAUCCGGAUUUAUUGGGUUUAAAGGGAGCGUAGAUGGAUGUUUAAGUCAGUUGUGAAAGUUUGCGGCUCAACCGUAAAAUUGCAGUUGAUACUGGAUAUCUUGAGUGCAGUUGAGGCAGGCGGAAUUCGUGGUGUAGCGGUGAAAUGCUUAGAUAUCACGAAGAACUCCGAUUGCGAAGGCAGCCUGCUAAGCUGCAACUGACAUUGAGGCUCGAAAGUGUGGGUAUCAAACAGGAUUAGAUACCCUGGUAGUCCACACGGUAAACGAUGAAUACUCGCUGUUUGCGAUAUACUGCAAGCGGCCAAGCGAAAGCGUUAAGUAUUCCACCUGGGGAGUACGCCGGCAACGGUGAAACUCAAAGGAAUUGACGGGGGCCCGCACAAGCGGAGGAACAUGUGGUUUAAUUCGAUGAUACGCGAGGAACCUUACCCGGGCUUAAAUUGCAGAUGAAUUACGGUGAAAGCCGUAAGCCGCAAGGCAUCUGUGAAGGUGCUGCAUGGUUGUCGUCAGCUCGUGCCGUGAGGUGUCGGCUUAAGUGCCAUAACGAGCGCAACCCUUGUUGUCAGUUACUAACAGGUUCCGCUGAGGACUCUGACAAGACUGCCAUCGUAAGAUGUGAGGAAGGUGGGGAUGACGUCAAAUCAGCACGGCCCUUACGUCCGGGGCUACACACGUGUUACAAUGGGGGGGUACAGAGGGCCGCUACCACGCGAGUGGAUGCCAAUCCCCAAAACCUCUCUCAGUUCGGACUGGAGUCUGCAACCCGACUCCACGAAGCUGGAUUCGCUAGUAAUCGCGCAUCAGCCACGGCGCGGUGAAUACGUUCCCGGGCCUUGUACACACCGCCCGUCAAGCCAUGGGAGCCGGGGGUACCUGAAGUGCGUAACCGCGAGGAGCGCCCUAGGGUAAAACUGGUGACUGGGGCU